ACGCACGGACGUCCUCCCGAGGGAGGCGGGAACUCGGUUCGCGGGCGCGGAGCGGUCCCGGACCCUCGAAGCCAGUUCCUUGCGUCAGUGCCGCGGCUCUUUAACCCGAAGGGAGAUUUUUUUUUUAAAGCCAGAGGCCGUUGACGCUGGGUAGCCUUUGGCUGGGGUUGGUUAUGAACUCCGACACAGCGGUGGUGCAUACGGAAGGGUGGUAGCCGGGACGGUUCCGGUCCCUGCGAGCGUGUCCCGGGCGUCUCCGCGGAAGUUUCACCUGCCGCGCCGCUCGAUCGCCGGGACCUCCUGGGUCUCUGCUGUGCGUAGACCAGCCGCGUUCCUUUGGGUGGCCGUGGAGCACUAAAGCGGGGCUUAUUGUUUGUUUGGUUUUGGUUUUUUUUUUUGUUUUUUUUUUGCUUUUUGUUUUUGAACUGAGGAUCUAUCAGAAAUAGGCUGAAAAGACCGAGUGAGGAAGAAACUCUUUAACAGCUAUUUUUGGCAUCUUAAGGUGAUUCUCAGGAGUUGCUACGUAUCAGAAUCAACGGAGGAGUUUUUCAAAGCAGAGAUGCCAGGGCCAGUCCCCAGACCUGAAUCAGGAAGUGAGGGAGAGAGCCGACGGAGGGGGAAAAGUCCCUUCAGCUGAUUCUUAUGUAUGUCAGUUUGGAGAGCCACGGAUAUAACCAAUACUGCGUCCUUCUGAGGUCCCACUUUAAGUGUCCUGGGUUGAGCUGGGUGACAAAUGCCCUUACAACAAUGGUAGUAGAAGCUUUCAGGCCAAGCGCAGUGGCUCACGCCUGUAAUCCCAGCACUUUGGGAGGCCGAGGCGGGCAGAUCACUUGAGGUCAGGUCAGGAGUUCGUGGGCAGCCUGGCCAAUAUGGUGAAACCCCGUCUCUACUAAAAAUAUAAAAAUUAGCCGGGUGUAAUGGCGUGCGCCUGUAAUCCGAGCUACUCAGGAGGCUGAGGCAGGAGAAUGGCUUGAACCCGGCAGGAGGCGGAGGCUGCAGUGAGCCGAGAUAGCGCCACUACACUCCAGCCUGGGCGACAGAGCGAAACUCCGUCUCAAAAAAAAAAGAAAAGCUUUCAGAAAGUUGCCUUUUUAUUUGAAAAAAAAAAAAAGGUAUUUGGAGGAUUUUAUGUAGUGCAACAACUGUUUUAGUGUUAAGAUCAUGAAAUGCUUUGGUCUCCUGUUAGUGUUCCCAAGAAAGGUGCUGUAAGUCCUUAAACCACGUGAAAACUUUUUUUUUUUUUGAGACCUCCUCGUUCUGUCGCCCUGGCUGGAGUGCAGUGGCGUCAUCACAUUUCAUUGCAGCCUCGACUUCCCAGGCUCAAGCCGUGCUCCUCGCAAUUACCUGGGACCGUAGAUGCACGCCACCAUGACUUAGCUGAUCUUUUUUUUCCCUUUGCCUCGAAGAGGCUGGGGUCUCACCAUGUUGCCCAGGCUGAAACUCCUGGGCCCGAGCGAUUGGCCCGCCUCAGCCGCUGGAAAUGCUAGCAUUACAGGCAUGAGCCACUGCGCCCAGCCUCCUGAAAACUUUUUAAAAUUUAUUCAAAAAUGUUUCCUGACCUCUUUAUUGUCAUAGUGUUUUAGAGAUACACUGGGAUUACAAAACAGAGGAGCUCCCUGCAUUCAAGGGGUUUACAAUCUAAUAGAGAAAAAGAUUGAGAAUAGAUACAUGCCAGGGAGUGGUAAGUGCUGUGAAGAAAAGAAUAAGUGGGGUAAAAGGGGUUAGAGGUGAUUGAAGAAGGCCCCUGUUGAUCAGAUGAAGGAACCUGUCUUGGAGAAGAGCAGGAGAGGAACACAUAACAAGUGCAAAGGGCCUGAGGGAAACGGAUUCUUGGCUUGUUAGAGGAGGAGUCAGUGUGGCUGGAGUGGCUUGAACAAGGGAGAGAAUAGUAGGACAUGAGAUAAGAGAGUUAUUAAGGGAGCCAGGUCAUGUACAGAAAUGGUCUUCAAUUUUUUUUUUAACUUUUGUGCCCUUUGAAAGAAUUUUGGAAGGCUGUUUUCUUUCCUCAAACAUUUUCACUUCUCAACUGGGUGUGGUGCCUUACACCUGUAAUACCAGCACUUUGGAGGAAAACAGGAGGAUCACUGGAGGCCAGUAGUUCAAGACCAGCCUGGGCGACAUAGCAAGACCCCCAUCUCUACAAAAAAAAUUUAUUAAUACAAAUUUUAAAAAUAAUGUAAAGUUUAGUUCUCAUCAUUCCAUGGUGUACCAAGUACACUUUGACUUCUAGGUACUCUGUUGUCUGAGUGAGAACUAUUAGUACCAAGAAAAGCAGGACAGAUAGCAGAGUUCUGAGUCUAAUUACUAUCUAUUGGCUUUUCUGUGUCUCUAAGGCCUUUCAGGGGCACGUUGUAAUUCUAGUAAUAAACACCACAUUUGAACAGCAGUUUACAGUUGACAAAGUGCUUUCACACACAUCUCUUAAUUUUUGCAACCAGUAAAAUAUAGCUCAACAAUAAAUAGACUUCCUUAUGUGAAUGUACUGUAAUGUAUUAUCUAUUCAUAGACAAUAAGGUUUUCAAUUUUUUACUAUUAUAAACAAUACUGUGAAAAGCAUUGUGAUGCAUAAUUAUUUGCAUAUCUAUAAUUAUUUCUUCUGAAUAUUCCUAAAAGAAUUGCUGAUUCAAAGAAUAUGCCCAUUGUAAAAGUUUUUAAUAUGUAAAUUUAAAGUAUUCCAUAUGGAUUAUUAAAUUGUUUUGAUGUAUUUUGCUACUAUAAAUAAAAAAGUGAAAUUAACAUGCAA
rnacentral:lncRNA from 1 species